GACACAAGACCUGGGUUUGAACGGUAGCUACUCUCUUGGGUCACCUAAACUAUGCACUUGACCUCUUUGGCUUUGCUUCCUCAUUUCUCGAGCAGGGAUCAUCAUUCUUGCCUCCAGGUACCCUGUUAGAUAGAGUGAGUGGCAGGAGGGGACAUAGUCCUUCAAUCUAAAGGAAGAUUCAGGUACUGAUUUUCCCUCUUCCUCACCCUGGCUGUGUGCCCUCAGGCUUUGCUUCUCUGUACUCCAAGUCUCUCUAACUUUUUUUUUAGUAUAGUUGUGGACUAAAUAUAUAUGCAAGGAAGGGGCAUUCCACACUGGAAGCUCCUGAUACCCAUAAAAUUAUAAUUAAAAAAAAUACACCCUCUCCCUCAUCAGGUUGCUCGAGGAAAGUAUCUGCUAACCUUAAUGCUCCCAUGAACAAUUAGGAAGCUCUUAACGGCUAUUAACAUGACACGAUGGAAGCAGAUGCUAAGUUGAUGACAGCUUUACGCCAUAGGACGAUGUGGAGGAAGAUAACUGAGUUUGUCCCUCUUCCAGAUCUGAUCUAACCAGCACGGUAGGCCUAGAAGGUUAUAGUUUCAGAGUUGAGAGGGCCAAGGGGGUCCUCUAAUUUACAGAGGAAGAAACUAGGAUCCGGGUAGGUGGUAGCCUGCCAAACCAAGGUCACCCAAAUAAGAAGGAAGAGAGCUGAGAUUGAAAUGCACGUUCUCUGGCCCCAACCCAGUUUAAUAAAGAAAAAGGUUUCCCUAGUACCUGAGGGCUGGGUAAAAGAAGUGCUGUCUGCUACUGGAGGGUUUCUGCUUCUCCUGCAAUGGGUUGGCCUCAACACAGACGAUUGUUGUGCUUUGUGCCAAGGAGUCUGGAAGACCCGGUAGGGGCAGGUCAGACUUACUGAGCACUGCAGGGCCACCAAUCAGGAAAUCGUCACAGGUCACAGAGAUGGUGCAGAACUGGGCAGAGUUCAGAGUCAGCCAGGCUUGUGUUGUCAUGGUUACCGGAACUCUGGCCAAUGCGGGUCACAGUAGCUGAUCAGAGCCAAGGCAGGCAUGUUGCAGGAUUGGUAGUCUGGGUUAUCUCUGUGUUUGAGCAGAGGGGCUAAUAUUGACUAUAGUAGCAGAGCCAAAAAGGGCCAAAUGGGAGGCGAGGGGAAACACAUGGUUUCUGGCAUGUAGAAGGAGGAAAUCUGAAAAAGAGAAUCCAAAGGGACCAUUUGCUUCAGCAGUGAAGGAGGCCUCCCUUCCCUACCUUCUUGAAGAGCUCAGAAGCAACUAGACUUUAACUGUGUUCUGAGAGGUGCGUGAGUGGCUUUGAUGACAUGGAGGAAGCACAGAAACCUGUUGGAUUCACCAUCUACAAUAGCAGUAUAAGCCCCAGGAGGGAAACCAUAUGACCAACUGAAGAAUUAUCAUAAUUUGUCAUAAUUUUCUUCAAUGCCAUCCUUAGGGAGGUGAAGGAAGAAUGAAUGGAAUUUGGUGAUCAGUGGGACAACUACAUUUCUAAACUUGACUCAUUACAGACCAGAUGAAUUUCUGAACUUUGUUCAGAGAUGAGUCACGGCUUGGGCAGUUUUAUAACACACUGGGAAUGAUAUAGAAUAGAAUGAAUUUCAAAGCAAAA